UGGGGAAUAUUGCGCAAUGGGGGAAACCCUGACGCAGCGACGCCGCGUGUGGGAUGAAGGUCUUCGGAUUGUAAACCACUGUCGCGAGGGACGAAGCUCUGACGGUACCUCGAAAGGAAGCACCGGCUAACUCUGUGCCAGCAGCCGCGGUAAUACAGAGGGUGCGAGCGUUGUCCGGAAUCACUGGGCGUAAAGGGCGCGUAGGCGGCCCGGUAAGUAGGGGGUGAAAUCUCAUGGCUCAACUGUGAGGCUGCCUUCUAGACUGCCAGGCUUGAGCACAGUAGAGGCGAGUGGAAUUCCCGGUGUAGCGGUGGAAUGCGUAGAGAUCGGGAAGAACAUCGGUGGCGAAGGCGGCUCGCUGGGCUGUUGCUGACGCUGAGGCGCGAAAGCGUGGGGAGCAAACAGGAUUAGAUACCCAUGUAGUCCCUGAGCGGGCUGGCAAGGCGCAU
rnacentral:rRNA from 1 species